rnacentral:rRNA from 1 species
UACGUAGGGUGCGAGCGUUAAUCGGAAUUACUGGGCGUAAAGCGUGCGCAGGCGGUUCGUUAUGUCCGAUGUGAAAGCCCCGAGCUCAACUUGGGAAUGGCAGUGGAAACUGGCGGGCUUGAGUGUGGCAGGAGGGGGUGGAACUCCGGAGUGUAGCGGUGGAAUGCGUAGAGAUUCGGAAGAACACCCAUGGCGAAGGCAGCACUCUGGGCUUGACCUGACGCUGAGGAACGAAGCCAGGGAGCAACGGG